CUCCGGUGAUCCUGCCCGGACCCGACUGCUAUCAGAGUGGGACUAAGCCAUGCGAGUCAACGUAGCAAUACGUGGCAUACGGCUCAGUAACACGUAGUCAACAUGCCCAGGGGACGAGGAUAACCUCGGGAAACUGAGGAUAAACCUCGAUAGGCCAUGAUUUCUGGAAUGAUUCUUGGCUCAAACCUAUAUGGCCCCUGGAUUGGACUGCGGCCGAUCAGGCUGUUGGUGAGGUAAUGGCCCACCAAACCUAUUACCGGUACGGGCUCUGAGAGGAGGAGCCCGGAGAUGGGCACUGAGACAAGGGCCCAGGCCCUAUGGGGCGCAGCAGGCGCGAAACCUCUGCAAUAGGCGAAAGCUUGACAGGGUUACUUUGAGUGAUUUCCGCUAAGGGAAUCUUUUGGCACCUCUAAAAAUGGUGCAGAAUAAGGGGUGGGCAAGUCUGGUGUCAGCCGCCGCGGUAAUACCAGCACCCCGAGUGGUCGGGACGAUUAUUGGGCCUAAAGCAUCCGUAGCCGGUCCUGCAAGUCUUCCGUUAAAUCCAGCUGCUCAACAGAUGGGCUGCGGGAGAUACUACAGGGCUAGGAGGCGGGAGAGGCAAGCGGUACUUUAUGGGUAGGGGUAAAAUCCGCUGAUCCAUAGAAGACCACCAGUGGCGAAGGCGGCUUGCCAGAACGCGCUCGACGGUGAGGGAUGAAAGCUGGGGGAGCAAACCGGAUUAGAUACCCGGGUAGUCCCAGCUGUAAACGAUGCAGACUCGGUGAUGGGUUGGCCUCGCGCCUGCCCAGUGCCGCAGGGAAGCCGUUAAGUCUGCCGCCUGGGGGGUACGGUCGCAAGACUGAAACUUAAAGGAAUUGGCGGGGGAGCA
rnacentral:rRNA from 1 species